rnacentral:rRNA from 1 species
GAUGAACGCUGGCGGCGUGCCUAAUACAUGCAAGUCGAGCGAACAGACGAGGAGCUUGCUCCUCUGACGUUAGCGGCGGACGGGUGAGUAACACGUGGAUAACCUACCUAUAAGACUGGGAUAACUUCGGGAAACCGGAGCUAAUACCGGAUAAUAUAUUGAACCGCAUGGUUCAAUAGUGAAAGACGGUUUUGCUGUCACUUAUAGAUGGAUCCGCGCCGCAUUAGCUAGUUGGUAAGGUAACGGCUUACCAAGGCAACGAUGCGUAGCCGACCUGAGAGGGUGAUCGGCCACACUGGAACUGAGACACGGUCCAGACUCCUACGGGAGGCGGCAGUAGGGAAUCUUCCGCAAUGGGCGAAAGCCUGACGGAGCAACGCCGCGUGAGUGAUGAAGGUCUUCGGAUCGUAAAACUCUGUUAUUAGGGAAGAACAAAUGUGUAAGUGACUAUGCACGUCUUGACGGUACCUAAUCAGAAAGCCACGGCUAACUACGUG